UUUCUGCUACAAGUGUCUGUUCUGGGGUAUUAGUCAUCAAGCCUUAGAAAGAAUUCUGGAAUGGUUCCAAAAGACAACCAAGAAAUAGUUCUUUUGAAAAAUGAAUUAGUGAGUCGCACAUUAUGUGAAGCAGCAGCACCCACGCUACUCAUCAAGGCCCUGGCCUGAGCCUCGCUGUGGGAUGUGUAACCAACCAUCUUUCUGAACUCCUGCAUAAGUGAAUUUUAAAAAAUACUAUGAUUGGAUUAAUAAGAGUACAAAACAAAAACUGUCCUGCAAUUUGGGGCUUUUUAUCAUUGUCAAACAAACUUCCUCCAUCAUUCUUCUAACGCAUACUUCUAAGGCAGUUCUGGAAGUCCGCUUUCACAAGUGCCUAUAGUUGCAAUAUUACAGCUGCUUAGAUUUCUAGAAUUUAUUCAAAACUUUUACUUUUUAUGGUUAUGUUGACUUUGGGGAAGAGCUGGAAGUCAAACGGUGCCAGAUCCAGUCAAUCAGGUAAAUGAGGACACUCUGCAAUGUUCUUACCAGCCUGCCUCUCUGCUGGGUGGUAUUUGAUAGCAGUAUUCGCUGUGUUUUUGAUUACGUGACAUAAGAACUCUCAAGAAAAUCCACCUCCAAAACUGCUUCAGAAAAUGGGAAGAACGACGGGAUAAAUAUGCUCAAAGGGUGUGGGUAUUGGGGAC